GUUAGACAAACAAUUUAAUUACGCUUCAAAUAUUUUUUUUUACAAAAAACUGUUUCUGUUGUUUUAGGCAGUUUUUUAUCACGCUGGUGUUAGUUCAAGUGUUCGUUCUUUAAAAAAGUUUGGUUUUAGUUAGUUAUUUGAUGCUAUAGAAACGGACGUUUUACGUCAUGAUUGACAGCUGAGUUUGACAGCUUCUCUGAGUGAAGUAGUCACUGAGGUGCCAACGGACUUUUUUCUGGAUCUUCACAAGAACCUUUCUCCAAGUUAACAGAGUGUGUGAGUUUUCAUGUAGGCUAACCACAUCCUGUUCAUCCCUUUCUUUCAUCUGCUCUGCCUUUUUAUGAGCUUGGAAUCUGGGCUUCAGAGCGUGACAGCGAGCUUCUCACAGUUCCUAGAGCCUCGUCAGGUCACCCAGCGUUGACAUCACUGAGGAUGCUCCUCAAUACUGGAACCAGCCGACUUUCCGCACAUCAAACCCUUGUCUUGUCUGUGUAUGACCUGAGCGUCUCAUCUACCGUGCAGUGUUGAUUAAACGCUCUCCUCUCUGA